UCCCAGCCUUCCCACUGGCUAGUGAGCUGUUGGAGGAAAAGGUGCUUGAGUUUUUCAUCUUGUGCCUCUUUCCCGCAUAGCACUGUACCUUGCACGUUCUAAGCCUCCUCAAAAGAGUGUGUGGAUCCAAAUGGCAGCUUUUCAGGAACUGUUUUUAAUUUUCUUUGAGAAGAACAGACAAAGUGAAGGCUCAGAAAUGAGAAAGAUGUCCACACAUCUUUGCCCAUCCCACACGCCUGACCAAGGGACUGUGGCCCCGGAUGGGCCGAACUAUUGCUGCUUUGGCUGCUUACUACCCCCAGGGGUCUUCCUCCACCAAGGCCCAAGUAAGUACUUGUGAGAUGCUUCAACUGUUCAGAAUCCUGCUGUGAGUUGGGGGCAUUGGUGCUUCUUCUCUUUAGAUUUCUG
ensembl:lncRNA